rnacentral:ncRNA from 1 species
AAAAAGUUUUAUUCUAGCUUAAGUAAUUGGUGUAUAAUUUAUUUUACAUGUAAAUUUUUGUGAUUUUAAAUAUAAUUUUAAAUAGAUUAUAUCCAUAAUUUUUUUAUUCGCAGUAUUUAAUUUUAGAUAUUAAAGGAAUUUAGAUUUAAGAAUUUAUAAUAAUAUUAACAAUAUUUGUGCCAGCAGUUGCGGUUAUACAAAUAAUAUAAUUGAUUAUUUUUAAUUUGUAAUUAAAUGAGAUUUAAUAAUAAUAUAAAAUAUAAUUUAUUAAGUGAAAUUUUAAAUUAUAUUUUAAUUUAUAUAUAAAAUUUUGAAGUUAUUAAAUUUUAUUAAAAACUAGGAUUAGAUACCCUAUUAUUAAAAUGUAAAUAUUUAAAAAUUUAAUUAUUAAAAGUUAUUAUCUAGAAAGUUAAAGAUUUUGGCGGUAUUUUAGUCUUUUCAGAGGAACCUGUUCUAUAAUUGAUAAUCCACGAUUAGAAUUACUUAUUUUAAAAAUUUGUAUAUCGUUGUAGUUGAAUAUUUUAUAAGAAUUUAAAUAUUCAAAAUUUUUAAUAAAGAAAAUAAAUCAAAUCAAGGUGCAGUAUAUAAAUAAGAAGUAAUGGGUUACAAUAAAGUAAUUUUUGGAAGUAUAGUUUAAAAUUAUAUUUAAAAUGGAUUUGAAUGUAAUUUAGUUAAUUUAAAUUGAAUGAUUUUAGCUCUAAAAUAUGCACAUAUCGCCCGUCGCUCUCAUUUAAAAUUAGAUAAGUCGUAACAAAGUAAUUGUACUGGAAAGUGUAUUUAGGUAGCA